GACGAGCACCAUUGACCCCCCAUGCUUUAGUGUGCUUCUCGUGAUGAUGCUAAGUGCCUCUACUAUA
rnacentral:tRNA from 1 species